rnacentral:lncRNA from 10 species
GGGGCCUGCAGGGGGCCUGUGACACCUAGGGGAGGGGAAUGGAUAAGGAGGGUAGGAGGGCCAACAGGAGGCACUGAGAUACCAGGGGGAGGGGUGGAAUGAGGAGGGGAGAGCCCUGCAGGGGGGCGGGGAGACCUGAGGUGAGGGUAAUGGAUAAGGAGGGGAGGAGGGUCUGCAGGGGUUCUUGGGAGACCUGGGGGAUGAAUAGGAGAGGACAAGGGGAGGAGGGUCUGCAGGGGGCCCUGGGAGCCCUGCGGGGGGCGAGGGGUGGGGGAAUGGAUAAGGAGGGGAGGAGGGCCUGCAAGGGGUGCUGGGAGACUUGGGGGAGGGGAAUGGAUAAGGAGGGGAGGAGGGCCUGCAAGGGGUGCUGGGAGACCUGGGGGAGGGGAAUGGAUAAGGAGAGGAGGAGGGCCCGCAGGAGGCACUGAGAGACUGGGGGGAGGGGUGGAAUGAGGAGGGGAGGAGAGCCCUGCAGGGGGCACUGAGAUACUGGGGGGAGGGGUGGAAUGAGGAGGGGAGGAGAGCCCUGUAGGGGGCGCUGGGAGACCUUGGGGGGAAUGGAUAAGGAGGGGAAGAGGGCCCUCAGGGGGCGCUGGGAGACCUGGGGGGGAAAUGGAUAAGGAGGGGAGGAUGGCCGCAAGGGGCACUGGGAGACGCUGGCGGGGAAUGGAUAAGGAGUGGAGGGGGGCCUGCAAGGGGCGCUGGGAGACCUGGAGGGGAAAGGAUAAGGAGGGAGGAGGGCCUGGAGAGGGCGCUGGGAGACUUGGGCGGGGGUGGAGGGAAUGGAUAAGGAGGGGAGAAGGGCCUGCAGGGGGCACUGAGACCUGGUGGGGAAUGGAUAAGGAGGGAGGAGGGCCUGCAGGGGGCGCUGGGGAACCUGGGGGGCUUGGAUAAGAAGGGGAGGAGGGCCUGCAGGGGGCGCUGGGAGACCUAGGCGGGGCAGGGGUGGGGAAUGGGUAAGGAGGGAAGAAGGGCCUUGCAGGGGGCGCUGGGAGACCUGGGGUCGGGGGGAGGAUAAGGAGGGGCAAUGGGAGAGGAUGGGGAAUGGGGUGCUUAGAGACUUGGGUGGGAAAUGGACGCAGCAGGGACUGGGCGGGGAGAGACCUUACAAGGGUUCCAGGAGAUGGGUUGGGGUGGGCUGGACAGGGCAGAGUGGAGGGUGAGGAGGGCCCUCUGUGAGCCACAGAGACCUGAGCAGGAGCUAGGUGGGGGCUGGGAAUGUGCAGGAAAGGAGACGUGGAAGGAGGGGGAGAUAGGGCGGCAGGGGUGAUGGAGAUUGACAGGGACCCCAGACAUGGGGGUAGGGAAAUGGGGAUGGAAAUAAAUGGAAAAAAAGAGGCUUCGUGGUGGGAAAGAGGAGGAACUCCGAGGGCUCCGGGGCACUGAGGUGUGCAGAGUUGCCGGGUCCUGAGUACCCUCGAGGGAGCAGAGGGAGCUCGAGGAACGAGGAAGAGAGGGGACGACGAGGGCAAAGAAGGGAGAACGUAGGCGGGUGUGGAGGAGGAUGAGCGUCCGAGGGAGAAGACGGAGGAGUUGAGCAGAGAAAGGGCAGGAAUGUGGGGGCUGGAAAGGGUGAGGAGGCAGCCGAUGGAGCAGGGGUGCAUCGGAGUUCAUGGGUACUUCCCAGGAGCUCAUUUAAGGCAGGUGGGAGGGCGGGGGACGUGGAGGGGCGGCCACACUGUGAACGGACUGAAGCCCACUUAACUGUUCACUCUAAAGUGGUUCAGUUCGUUACGUGUGUUUUCACUUCAAUCAAUUGCUUUUAAUGGAAAUUAAUCAUAUUGAUGGUCUCCAGAAGAAGUUGGGUUGAUACCUGCAACCAGAUUUUAAAAAUGCAAAUUUGGAGCCAAUGAGUGAAUGAAAUAAUUUGUACCUCACUGAUUCUUUUAAGGCAUAGCUUACAACGUUCCAGAAACUGUUCUAUUUGUUUUCACUUUUGUUUCAAAAUCUUAAUGGCAUUUUGUUUGCUGAUUGUGAAUAAAUAUUUGUAUGCUGCGAAAAGCAAAUCCAAAACCAACAGCUCAAAGGAGAAAGUGUGGCAAACAGGAGAUUGGAGAUUGGACCCCAAAACUCCUGGAGUGACGAAAAUUGACCUGGAUGAAGAAAUGGCUUUCUCUUGGCCUUCUUUUGUUUAAACAUAUCUUCCAGUCCUGGGGAUGGAUUUCCCUCCCAUCCAUAGCCAGAGAACUUUCUGUAUCCAUCAAAGUGCUUUCUAUGUUUGCCCGCUCUCCACAGCUCCCUCUUUGUCAUUCGCGAAUAGUAUAUAAUCAAAUAUUGUUUUCAUUUUCAAUAAUAUAAAAGAUAGAACUAAAUUCAGCUUUGAAAGACACCCAUGUACCAGUGGGUACUGGUACACUUGCCAGUGACUUUCUUCGCUCCCUAGUUUCUGCGUGGUGUCUGGGGUUUCCGUCACAGUAUAUGUACUAUACAAAGAAAAUAAAUAUUUGAAGGUCACUGGGAAAGUAGUAUGCUAUAAUGACUUACUUUAAAUCAUUUAAAUGAGUUUUUCUGCUUGAGUAAUCAGCACCUAUUUAGUGCCUCCUUGAGUAAUUUUGCGUGAUGGCUGUGACAUGCUGCUAGGAAGUUUUUCAGAGUUUGUAUUAUAGAAUCAUGUUUAGAAAAUUUCAAAUACCAAUUUAAAAGGCAUGUUUUAAAAGGAGAUAUAAAGCCAGUGGGAGGAGGGAUAGAGAAAGGGGAAACUGAGUUAAAUUUGAAGGGGACAAAGGGGCUUAAAAAGAGAAAUAGAUGGAAAGGGAGGGAUGAGGAGGAGGAGAGAGGGCCAAGCAGGCAGGGGAGGCAGGCCUGCAGUUGCUAAACUUUGCUCCUUCCCCGCGUUCUUGGAUAAUAUUUGUGGGGAGGCACUCCAAGCCAGACCUGCUGGAUUUCCUGCUCGUAGGCCUGUGCAGCCCAGGAAACUGUUCAGAAAAGUAGGAGAUGCCCAGGUGUGGUGACGGGCCAGCCAUGGGUUCCCCCAGUGCCUGCUGUGGAGCUUGGUCACUUGCAUCCUCCGGUGCACAUGUUUUGCAGGUGGUAUUGCUUCGUGGUGGGUCCACACUAUGAGCUUAUCAGGCAAUGUGCUCAAAGGAAAGGAAGGCCUUGCGAAGUAUGUGGCACAGGUAGGGGCUAUACGCAUAUUACUGUGUCCCCCCAAAUUCAUAUGUUGAAGUCCCAACCCCCAGUACCUGGGGGUACAAAAUGUCACGAUAUUUAGAGGUAGGACCUUUAAAGAGGUAAUUCAGUUUGAACAAAGGCCACGGGGGGCAGUAGGGGUGGGGGAGAACUAAGCCACCUGACUGUGUUAGGGCCUCCAAAGAAGUGAUUAUUAAAAUGAUGGCGAGAGGAUGGGGUCCCAAGCCUACCUGGCUGAGGUCCUUAUAAGAAGAGAAGACACCAGAGAAGGACACACACAGAGGAAAGGCUGCGUGAGAGCAGCAAGAAGAUGGUUUUGUGUGAGCCAAGAAGGGGGCCUCGGGAGAACCAAACUUGCCAACACCUUGCUCUUGUACUUCCAGCCUCCAGAACUAUGAGAAAUAAAUGUCUGUUUUCUUAGCCACUCAGUCUGUGGUGUUUUGUUACGGCAGCUCUAGCACACCAGUGCAGGUACACACCAGGAGAGGCUCACACCAGUGCAAGCUCACACCAUUGCAGGCUCAUAUCAGUGCAGGCACACACCAGGACAGGCUCAAACCAAUGCAGGCACACACCAAUGCAGGCUCACACCAAUGCAGGCUUACACCAGUGCAGGCACACACCAGUGCAGGCUCACACCAAUGCAGGCUCACACCAUGCAAAUGGGACCGAGUGUGGGAGGCUGUGCUACUGCAUGGUUGCUGAAAGCAAAUGUUGGAAAACAUAUUCCACUUAGCCCUUUGGGCUAAGAAUUAUCCCCAGCACAUGUGCUUGACUGGGUGGGCAUGGGGACAGAUGAGCUCUAGAGCAUUAUUUGGAACUGGCAUAGAUUCAGAUAGAGAUGGACAAAUCAGAAAUGUAAAAAUAUUUUGAAAAAAAUUCUAUGAGGCAGCAAUGGACGAGACAGGCCAUUGAGUGCUGUCAUUGUCUUUAAAAAAUACUAUGUUCACUGCUUUCAAAGUAAGUGUCAUGAGGUUUAUUACUUAGUGGUUCUCUGGCUCCCCUAAGUUGACUGUAAAAUCUUUAUGAGGCACUUGGUAAGCACAUAAGUAUUUGAAGUACCCAAGGGAUAAAAGAGCUCGGUAGUGAAAUGGUGAGUGAAGGCUGGAAUUGCCCUAAAGUCUGGGUAGGAAGGGGGCCUCCAGCUGAGUAUGCCAAGCAAGUAACAUGAAUUAUCUCUCAAAUCUUCUAGAAAGCCCUAUGAGGGGGCAGUAUCAUAAUACCCUUUUCACAGAGAAAGAAAUGGAAAGGUUAAGAAACUUGCUCAAGGCCAGGCACGGUGGUUCACACCUGCAAUCCCAGUGCUUUGGGAGGCUGAGGCCAGAGGAUCACUCGAGGACAGGAGUUUGAGACCAGCCUGGGCAACAUAGUGAGACUCAGUUUCUACAAAAACAAAAAAACCAAAAAAUUAAAAAAUAAAAACUUGCUGAAGUGGUGGAAACAGUGAUUCAGGGAUCUUUGUCUUAAAUACUUUGUAAUGUGUUAUUUAUUAUGCUUCUUGUUAAUUUCUACAUGGGAAAUUAUAUAUAUGUUUAUGUUUUUAAAUAUAUAUUAUAUAUACUUAUAUAUUAAAUACGUAUUUCUACAUAUGUUUCCCAUAUAUGUGCUAUGUAAUAUAUAUGGUAAGAAAGCUCAACAUGGGUAAGGAUCUUUGUGAGUUUUGUUAACUGUUGUAUCCAAAGUGCCUGGGACAGGACCCUUGACAACAAUUUGUGGAAUAACUGAGUGUUGGAGUCCAUUGGCCUUCGACCACUCUUUUUUACAGCCCCUCUGGCAUACAUGAAGGGUGAAUCUGAGUUUUAUAUCCCACAGCCUUACACAAAUAAAUGUCAUGAUUGCGUUUUCUCUUGUUGUUCUGCAGUGGUAUUUACCUGGACAGUUUAAUGAUGUCUCUGACCUCUUCAUUUUAAGAAACCUUUCAAGAACUUUUUACUUCAUUCAACAGUUGUCUAUUCAUGCCAUAGGUAUUUAUAAUGAACUGUGAUAUCUAUAUUGUGGAGAAACGGGGUGCUCAGAAAGCUUUUCUUUUUCUUUUUCUUUUCUUUUCUUUUUUUUUUUUAUUCUGAGAUGGAGUCUCACUCUGUCACCUAGGCUGGAGUGCAG